AGAACCAUCUCACGCAGAGCCGCAGAGCCGCAGAGAAACGAUUUGUUCUCUGCGGCUCUGCGGCUCUGCGUGAGAUGCUU
rnacentral:misc_RNA from 1 species